AGCAUUUUAAUCAUUUGGGGUGUUUCAGCAUGAAACACUGAUUGUGUUCAUUUUCUUUUUUCUUUUUUCCUGUUCUGUGAUUAUUUAUUAAAGAAAUUAAUAGCAAUAGUUAAACAAAAUAUAGGUUCUUAAUAUUAAUGCUUUAUUUCUUGCUAAUCAGGAAAAAAAUAUUGCUAUAUUUUUAUAGAUUUAAAGAUGUUAGUUUUAGAGGAAUCCGUCUUACGAUUCGAACCUAUGUGAGAAUUAGAACCUAUCUUUUCUAGAGAAGUUUGCCGGCAAGGAUUCAGUUACAGUUGACCCCUGAUAUUUGUCAUCUAUUUAUUGAAAAGUAAAUAUCUUUUGAGGAAGAAAUCUAGUUCUGCUUCCAUAUUGCUAUUGUAUUAGUUUUACCAAUUUUUUUUUUUAUUUUGACAGAUAAUAUAUGUGUUUCUUUCCGCUUUUAGAUAUCAGAUGUUGAUACAUAUAGAAAUGCAGAGUUGAGAUUGCUUCGCAGCUCAACUUCUAAUACUAGUGAGCAUCUUUGCCUUUGUGCUACAGGAACAAAAACCAUGAAAAUAGAAGUGGCCUGGGCCCUAGGGAAAGUGUGACUUGAUCCUAUUUGAGAAGUAGAAACUAUCUUUCUAGAGAAGUUUGAUAGAAAGGAUUUAGCUAGAGUUGAUAUUUGUCACAUAUUGAUAUUUGUGUACAGUGUGCAAUAAUAAUGCUCCUCUGGUUAAUCUAUGUGUUGGUGUCUGUCUAGUGAUCAGUUUCACCUUAUUUUUUUUGAAGUUUGAUAAAUUUUCCAGGUUCCUGCUCAAUUCUAGCUUCCAGAGUGCCAGCACUGCUCUACAACCCUGGAACGGUCAAUUAGCUUUUUCAAAAUGUCUACUUCUGCACAUACAUGGCACACAACCACACAAUUGAUUAGGAUUCAUUGAUAUCUUUUUAUCCUGUCUUUGUUUCUGUAUAUUUUUUCACAUAUCAGAAAACUGUUCAUUUAUCAUUUAUAAAACGCUUUACUCAUUAAGUAUGUUUUUGUAAUAUAGAUUUCAAAAAAGCAAAAGAAGUAUGGAACCCUUGUCAUAGAGCAUGUCGAUUCUUUCUUUAUCUGCAACUUUGACUACAAAGACUUCUUCAUCUGACUUGUAGAUUAUGGUUCAAAGAGAUUAUUGAUAUUGCAAUUUCUUAUAAUGAGAUCAUCAUGGCUUUUCUGGAAAGAUGAUUUACAAGAUGGAGAGUAACGUUCCCUCUCAUUAUCUUAGCCUGUUCUAUUUCUGAUGAAUAGGAAAAUGGGAUUAACAUGCAACUGUUAAAUUAUUACUGUCAGUUCCUUUCCUUCAAGAAUGUUCGGAAUAGAAAGGAGCUGUAAUUUGAAACUUGUGUGCAUGAAAUCAUGAUUGCAUUUCUUAAGUACCGUGGUCAACUACAAUGGAGUUGUUUCAUGCGAACAACUUUUACCUUUUGUGUCCUCUCCUGAAAGUACAAUAUCUAGGUGGGCAUGUAUAGGCACAUGAAUUAACUUGAUUCAUGCAUGCAUCUACCUUUGUCUUUUAGAUAGCACUGUACACAUUUGCCGUCAUAAAUUUUAUGUGUUGUGAAAGGUUUGAGCUCUCUUCAUCCUCAGUCAGCUCUUCUACUGAUGAAGCAUAUAUUUCUCUUUUUUUUUUUGCAGAGCUGUAAACAUGAGAUUUGGAUCA
rnacentral:lncRNA from 1 species